rnacentral:rRNA from 1 species
AUACGUAGGGGGCGAGCGUUGUCCGGAAUGAUUGGGCGUAAAGGGCGCGUAGGCGGCCCGGUAAGUCUGGAGUGAAAGUCCUGUUUUUAAGAUGGGAAUUGCUUUGGAUACUGUCGGGCUUGAGUGCAGGAGAGGGAAGUGGAAUUCCCAGUGUAGCGGUGAAAUGCGUAGAGAUUGGGAGGAACACCAGUGGCGAAGGCGCAUUACUGGACUGUAACUGACGUUGUGGCGCGAAAGUGUGGAGAGCAAACAGGAUUAGAUACCCUGGUAGUCCACACUGUGAACGAUGAAUGCUAGGUGUAGGGGGUAUCGACCCUUUCGGUGCCGUAGUCAACACAAUAAGCAUUCCGCCUGGGGAGUACGGCCGCAAGGUUGAAACUUAAAGGAAUUGACGGGG